GACGUAGGGCGCGAGCGUUGUCCGGAUUUAUUGGGCGUAAAGAGCUCGUAGGCGGCUUGUCGCGUCGUCCGUGAAAACCCACAGCUCAACUGUGGGCUUGCGGUCGAUACGGGCAGGCUAGAGUUCGGUAGGGGAGACUGGAAUUCCUGGUGUAGCGGUGAAAUGCGCAGAUAUCAGGAGGAACACCGGUCGAAGGCGGGUCUCUGGGCCGAUACUGACGCUGAGGAGCGAAAGCGUGGGGAGCGAACAGG
rnacentral:rRNA from 1 species